GGGGAAUAUUGGGCAAUGGGGGAAACCCUGACCCAGCAACGCCGCGUGAGGGAAGAAGGUUUUCGGAUUGUAAACCUCUGUCAUGCGGGAAGAAGGAAGUGACGGUACCGCAUGAGGAAGCCCCGGCUAACUACGUGCCAGCAGCCGCGGUAAUACGUAGGGGGCGAGCGUUGUCCGGAAUUACUGGGCGUAAAGGGUGCGCAGGCGGCUAUACAAGUCAGAUGUGAAAAGCUACGGCUUAACCGUGGAGGUGCAUAUGAAACUGUGUAGCUUGAGUGCGGGAGAGGCAAGCGGAAUUCCUAGUGUAGCGGUGAAAUGCAUAGAUAUUAGGAGGAACACCAGUGGCGAAGGCGGCUUGCUGGACCGUAACUGACGCUGAGGCACGAAAGCGUGGGGAGCAAAC
rnacentral:rRNA from 1 species